rfam:Triticum urartu cultivar G1812 contig230762, whole genome shotgun sequence.
UUCAUACUCCCUCCGUCCGGAAAAGCUUGUCCCUUAAAUGGAUGUAUCUAGCACUAAGUUAGUGCUAGAUACAUCCAUUUGAGGGACAAGCUUUUUCGGACGGAGGGAGUAUGAU